AAAAGGAAAGUAUUUGAUGUAUCAGAUAUGUAUACAAUCACUGAUGCUUGGGGCUGGACAUGGGAAAAAGAAAUCAAGAACAAAGCUCCUCGAAGAUGGUCACAGGAGUGGGAAGUUGAAUUGGCGAUCAAAGUGAUGACAAAAGUAAUAGAAUUGGGUGGGACACCAACAAUUGGUGAUUGUGCUAUGAUAUUGCGUUCUGCAGUACGAGCUCCUAUGCCUUCUGCUUUUUUGAAAAUUUUGCAGACAACACAUAGUCUUGGUUAUGUAUUUGGAAGCCCUUUGUAUGACGAAAUCAUCAUAUUAUGCCUUGAUCUUGGGGAGCUUGAUGCUGCAAUUGCCAUAGUGGCAGAUCUAGAGACUAGCGGAAUCAAGGUCCCAGAUGAAACCCUUGAUAGAGUAAUUUCUGCCAGGCAGGGUAGUGAUACUCCUGUUAAUGGUUCGCAAUAGGGGAUCUGCAUAUUGCAAUUUUACUUGUAGGUUAGGAGGAAUUUAG
rnacentral:misc_RNA from 1 species